rnacentral:sRNA from 1 species
GCCAGGUGUGCUGGUGCACACCUGUCAUCCCAGCAGCUUGGGAGGCUGAGGCAGGAGGAUCGCAAGUUGGAGACCAGCCUUGGCCACUUAGCGAGACCCUGUCUCU